CCUCCUAGCAGAGUUACGAGCAUGGAAGUAGCAGCAGUGGCAGACGGGCUGGAGGUUGGCAGUGGCAGUGGCAGUGUGUUAGUAACGUUGUCAUGGAGGGCACCGGGAGCAGACCUAACUCGUAAUACAGUGACGGGCUACGAGAUAAGAUACACUCAAUCAGGAGAAGAAGCGACCAGUGGCUGUGACCUGUGCACCGUGGGAGACUGGGAUGCCCCGCCAGUCCCCGCGGCGUACGGAUCGAGGCAAGAAGGUGUUGUGACGUUGCCCAGGGGUGAAUCAACAGACAUCAGUUAUUUUGUGGUUGUUUUGCCCCUUGAUGGAGAACAGAAGGGGUCUCCAAGUAAUGUAGUAGGUGUGGAUACUACUACUACUACUACUACUACUACUACUACUACUACUACUGCUACUACUACUACUACUCCUACUACUACUGCUACUACUACUUCU